rnacentral:rRNA from 1 species
GUGCGUUAAAAAGGGUCACAUGNUUUCANAAUGAAGCGAGUGGNGAACUGGUGAGUUAACACGUGGGGAAUCUGGCCCAGAAGCAGGGGAUAACACUUGGAAACAGGUGGCUAAUACCGUAUAACAACAAAAUCCGCAUGGAUUUUGUUUGAAAGGUGGCUUCGGCUAUCACUUCUGGAUGAUCCCGCGGCGUNUUAGUUAGUUGGUGAGGUAAAGGCCCACCAAGACGNUGAUACGUAGCCGACCUGAGAGGGUAAUCGGCCACAUUGGGACUGAGACACGGCCCAAACUCCUACGGGAGGCAGCAGUAGGGAAUCUUCCACAAUGGACGAAAGUCUGAUGGAGCAAUGCCGCNUGAGUGAAGAAGGGUUUCGGCUCGUAAAACUCUGUUGUUAAAGAAGAACACCUUUGAGAGUAACUGUUCAAGGGUUGACGGUAUUUAACCAGAAAGCCACGGCUAANUACGUGCCAGCAGCCGCGGUAAUACGUAGGUGGCAAGCGUUGUCCGGAUUUAUUGGGCGUAAAGCGAGCGCAGGCGGUUUUUUAAGUCUGAUGUGAAAGCCUUCGGCUUAACCGGAGAAGUGCAUCGGAAACUGGGAGACUUGAGUGCAGAAGAGGACAGUGGAACUCCAUGUGUAGCGGUGGAAUGCGUAGAUAUAUGGAAGAACACCAGUGGCGAAGGCGGCUGUCUAGUCUGUAACUGACGCUGAGGCUCGAAAGCAUGGGUAGCGAACAGGAUUAGAUACCCUGGUAGUCCAUGCCGUAAACGAUGAGUGCUAAGUGUUGGAGGGUUUCCGCCCUUCANUGCUGCAGCUAACGCAUUAAGCACUCCNCCUGGGGAGUACGACCGCAAGGUUGAAACUCAAAGGAAUUGACGGGGGCCCGCACAAGCGGUGGAGCAUGUGGUUUAAUUCGAAGCUACGCGAANAACCUUACCAGGUCUUGACAUCUUCUGCCAAUCUUAANAGAUAAGACGUUCCCUUCGGGGACAGAAUGGACAGG